GAUGAAGAACGCAGCGAAAUGCGAUAAUUAAUGUGAAUUGCAGAAUUUAGUGAAUCAUCGAAUCUUUGAACGCACAUUGCGCCCCUUGGUAUUCCGGGGGGCAUGCCUGUUCGAGCGUCAUUUCAACCCUCAAGCUCUGCUUGGUGUUGGGCCCUGCCCGCUGCGGCCGGCCCUAAAGACAGUGGCGGUGCCGCCUGGCCCUGAGCGUAGUACAUCUCUCGCUCCAGUGCCCGGUGGUAGCCUGCCAGAACCCCAACUCUCGUGGUUGACCUCGGAUCAGGUAGGGAUACCCGCUGAACUUAAGCAUAUCAAUAAGCGGAGGA
rnacentral:misc_RNA from 1 species